UACAGAGGUCUCAAGCGUUGUUCGGAUUCAUUGGGCGUAAAGGGUGUGUAGGUGGCGCGCUAAGUCGGGUGUGAAAUUUCGGAGCUUAACUCCGAAACUGCAUUCGAUACUGGCGUGCUUGAGGACUGGAGAGGAGACUGGAAUUUACGGUGUAGCAGUGAAAUGCGUAGAUAUCGUAAGGAAGACCAGUGGCGAAGGCGGCAUCCUGGACCGACACUGACGCUGAUGAGCGAAAGCCAGGGGAGCAAACGGG
rnacentral:rRNA from 1 species